rnacentral:rRNA from 1 species
UACAGAGGAGCCAAGCGUUGUCCGGAUUGACUGGGCGUAAAGCGCACGCAGGCGGUUGCGCGCGUGGGGGGGGAAAUCUGGCCGCUUAACGGCCAGGCGCCAUCCCAUACGGCGCGACUGGAGUGAUGCAGAGGUCGAUGGAAUUGCCGGUGUAGUGGUGAAAUGCGUAGAGAUCGGCAGGAACACCCAGGGGGAAACCAGUCGACUGGGCAUCUACUGACGCUGAGGUGCGAGAGCGUGGGGAGCGAACCGG